rnacentral:rRNA from 1 species
UGCAGUCGAACGCUUCUUUUUCCACCGGAGCUUGCUCCACCGGAAAAAGAGGAGUGGCGAACGGGUGAGUAACACGUGGGUAACCUGCCCAUCAGAAGGGGAUAACACUUGGAAACAGGUGCUAAUACCGUAUAACAAUCGAAACCGCAUGGUUUUGAUUUGAAAGGCGCUUUCGGGUGUCGCUGAUGGAUGGACCCGCGGUGCAUUAGCUAGUUGGUGAGGUAACGGCUCACCAAGGCCACGAUGCAUAGCCGACCUGAGAGGGUGAUCGGCCACAUUGGGACUGAGACACGGCCCAAACUCCUACGGGAGGCAGCAGUAGGGAAUCUUCGGCAAUGGACGAAAGUCUGACCGAGCAACGCCGCGUGAGUGAAGAAGGUUUUCGGAUCGUAAAACUCUGUUGUUAGAGAAGAACAAGGAUGAGAGUAACUGUUCAUCCCUUGACGGUAUCUAACCAGAAAGCCACGGCUAACUACGUGCCAGCAGCCGCGGUAAUACGUAGGUGGCAAGCGUUGUCCGGAUUUAUUGGGCGUAAAGCGAGCGCAGGCGGUUUCUUAAGUCUGAUGUGAAAGCCCCCGGCUCAACCGGGGAGGGUCAUUGGAAACUGGGAGACUUGAGUGCAGAAGAGGAGAGUGGAAUUCCAUGUGUAGCGGUGAAAUGCGUAGAUAUAUGGAGGAACACCAGUGGCGAAGGCGGCUCUCUGGUCUGUAACUGACGCUGAGGCUCGAAAGCGUGGGGAGCAAACAGGAUUAGAUACCCUGGUAGUCCACGCCGUAAACGAUGAGUGCUAAGUGUUGGAGGGUUUCCGCCCUUCAGUGCUGCAGCUAACGCAUUAAGCACUCCGCCUGGGGAGUACGACCGCAAGGUUGAAACUCAGA